CAUCCACUACUCCUCACCCAGCCGCAGCCCCCAUACUAUAUAAUGCCUCUACCCGCUCAGUCAGGAGCUGCCUGGCGUAUGGCUGACUUUGAACAACGAGGCUGGGGUAACCACACUCAAUCGGGACUCUAACUCCUAUCACUUAUGAGUACUAAGCAUGUUUAGAUAAAUGCGUAACUACCUGCACCUGGUCUGAUUAAGCUAGGACCUGCUGUCUAGUCUAGUGAGCAAAGUGCAAGACACAAUCUCCCAGUUUCAUAAGCAUUUCCUUGUUUAUAAGCCUGUUAUUCACCUUAUUAAGCAAAAUACCAAUAUGUCUAAAUAACUAGCGAUUCCUUAUACACACUUUAGAUAUGUUGGAUAUGCAUGUGACCCUGCUACUUUACUUAACCUAACUUUGAAAAUGUGUGCAGUACUUCUCUAUGCCACAAGCCUGUUAAGCGAUGUUCCCC